rnacentral:rRNA from 1 species
GGCAACGGGUGAGUAACAUGUAGGUAUCUGCCCUUUGGCCUGGAAUAACACGAGGAAACUUGUGCUAAUACCGGAUAAGUCUUUACGGAGAAAGCUUUAUGCACCAUUGGAUGAGCCUGCACUUGAUUAGUUUGUUGGUGGGGUAAUGGCCUACCAAGACUUUGAUCAAUAGCUGAUUUGAGAGGAUGAUCAGCCACAUUGGGACUGAGACACGGCCCAAACUCCUACGGGAGGCAGCAGUGGGGAAUCUUGCACAAUGGAGGAAACUCUGAUGCAGCGAUGCCGCGUGAGUGAAGAAGGCCUUUGGGUUGUAAAGCUCUUUCGUCGGGGAAGAAAAUGACUGUACCCGAAUAAGAAGGUCCGGCUAACUUCGUGCCAGCAGCCGCGGUAAUACGAAGGGACCUAGCGUAGUUCGGAAUUACUGGGCUUAAAGAGUUC